CCCCCCAAACUAAAUGGCUCAGCUUUAAAUCAUUUUAUUUCUUUUUUCUAAAAGAAAAGCAGUGGUUCUGCUAGGGUUCUUUUAACCCAUUCCACGCCGUCGCCCAUCUGCCCCUUCACCAAAGCUCCGAUGACGGCGGAGAUGAUGGUGGCGCGGCGACCUCGACGAACAGGUACGUGCUUGAGGAGCGGUGUUUGCGGAGAAACGCCACGCGUGGAGGACGAAACUUGCGGCGACUGGAGACUGCGGUGGCUACUUGCUGCUACUGCCUAGGGUUUUCUGAAAUAUUAACGUUUUUGGGCUAGGGUCUGUAUUGGGCUUAGGUUUGGUUUAUUGGGUUUGGGCCAAGGUUUAGUUUAUUUUUGUUUUGUAAUGGUCUGGGCCAAUUGGGCCUUAUUACAUAUAACUUUAGAAAUUUUUUUCAUAA